UUUUAAUUUCAUCCAAUAUCCAUUGAAAAGGUGGUGUUAUAAGGAAACAGAACUUGAUAGAAGAUGUUUUAGUUCCUGUGAAGUAGCUAGAAUAUUGUUGCAGGUGUUGCUUAUGGAUAUAGAACUGCAGUGAGAGACUUGAAUGAUGAGGAUACACCCCCAUCACCAGCUCAGUUUUGCCUCACUCUUCUCCCCUGCCUUUCCACAGCCUUUAUUACUAGCUGAAGAGAGAGUUUCCAGAGGUGUAGUUAUGCCAGCUCUUCAUGUCUGGUACCUCAGGCCAAGACAAUCUUGAUGCUUCCCAUAUAGAGGGAACUACCUUGAGAGAUGGACCAAUGCAACAGGAUGCCAGCUCUCCACAGUCGAUGGUACUGAGGCACUGGAAAAAUCUGACUGAUAGAAAAAUCCUGCAAGUGCAAGAAUUACUAGGAUCCACAGCUGGCUAUAUGGAGACUAUCAGGAUGAGUCGCUCUGGCACAGCACCAGCACUACAAUAACAGUCUUCGCUAUUCCCCUUGGUUGUCUCUGCACAAACCUCCCAGCACUGAUUUUGGCAGGACUUGCUAGCCUGAGAACAACAUAACAGGAAUGCCUGGCACAAAGACACUUUCAUGGCUCUGCAUGGGACUGAUUUUUGUCAGGGCAUAUUAGGUCUGGUGCUGCCCAGAAGACGCUGCACUGCUUAGCAGGCUGUGGCCUGGAGCUACUUGCUAGUACGUGCUCCUGCUUUGCUCCUCACCUCCUCUUUACCACCCACUAGAUAAGCAAAUUCUUUAUAGAUCAGCUGUUAUGCAGUCCUGUCCUAGGCACUCACAGGGCAAGGAACAACUUCCUCACAGUAUGGAUCCAGCCCAGGGGCUGUCUGCUUACUGGUAGCACUUUAGACAUUCUUUUCUAAUAUCAAAUUAAGUAAGACUGAUAUAAAAUACUUGACACAUUUACAUAAUUCAGGUUGACUAGCUGAGUGCCUGUUAUGUUACUUUCCUCUUCCCCCAGUCAAAAUAAAGAAUGAGAAAACUUUCAAGAUGAAAUCUGCCCAUAUUUGAAGGCCACUGUGAAGAUCUCAUUGACUUAAGCUGGGUUAAGAUGUCUUUUUCUAAUCAUUUACUCUCUGAUGUUUUCAAGCAGCAGAACAUCACAACCAAUAAAAAUAUCCCACAGGACUUGGAAAAGGUCUGGGAGCAAUUCCAUCCCAGAGAAGCAAGUGUUGACAUUCCAGACCUACUGCAAUUUGAGAGGAUUUUUUUUUUUUUUUACCCAUGGUUAUACAAAGUGAGUGUUUAGCUCUGGUCUACCUUGCAGCCUAUUGUGAAUAAUAGGGAGUCAAAUAACAAUUAGUCUCUUGAGAAAUGUUAGUUCAAUUGAAACAAUGACAUAACUGGUAAUGACAAUCACAGAGCUGUAUUUGGUCUUUGGCCUUACUAACUCUUGCCAUUAGUCAUUUAUAUCUGCUUUUCUCUGUCACAACAUCAUGGCAUGAGGACCAAUCUUGUGUUGGGAUUUAAGGUUUGCUAUUGUCGUCUUUCAUAACAGAGCCUUGUUAUUCUUUGCAGAACCUUCUGCUGUAGGGUGGAGGGGACUUGGAGGGAAAGUAUGUGCAAUGCAUAGGCACAAGGUGGUGUCCUGGUCCUGAUGCACAGAUUCUUGGUGAAUAAAGAUAGCUGUUGUGGGUGACUAAUC